CACCCCUUUAGCCCUAAGUCUUUACUUUAACUUUGUACUUCUUCUGACACAUUGCAUCUAAAAUUUCAUCCACACAAAGUUCUCUCCUUCAAAAUCUUCUCUCCUCGAAUACACAUCUAAAAUCUUCUUCUUCAUGGAUCUUCAGCGAUCCAGAUUUUUCAUGGAUCUUGAAGUUUUGUUCCAGAAUCCAGGUUUUUCAUGUUAUCACAAACCUGGAUCUGAAACUUUGUUCCUUUUCAUGGAUACAGAUCUAAUAUAUCUCCCACUCUUCAAGGAUACAUGAUUCAUAGAUCAUAAUGAAUCAGCACAAGAAUUACGGUUUAUGAAGAAGUGAAGAAAAAUGACAGAAGUCAACACCAACAACAUGCUGCCCCCAGCAUAUUAUUUCAAGCGGAUCAUCCUUUGAAUCCACACAAAUUAGCAAGAACCUCAUUCUGCAGAAAAAAUCAGAGUAGGAACACUAACCUCUCUUACUGCUGUGACCUCUGUAUGAGCUGUAGGGUCAGUAUGCUUCAAACCCAUCUUAUGGCAGCUAACAACUACUUCAUUAUUGCAAACAACAUUAUUUGUCGUUUGUCAUAAAUUAGAUAUCUCUACUUAAGCAUCAUUUGAGAAGAAAACUACUCAAGCACUGCAAUAUCAAACAAAUUCAAGCCCAAUGAAUGGGAUGAUGUACAAAUUUCAACAAGAUCUGAGUAGAUUGAACACAUUGCACUGGAAAGUUAAAAGCAUUAAUCCAAAGACAUCACGACAGAAUUACCGGAUAAAGCAUAGGUUUUGUUAUUACUUCAUUGAAAAUCUCCCAUCAUAAUCCUGAUAACUACUUCAUAGAAACAUCCCCAUCAAUCUUGGCCACUAGACAGUGGUAUUGUUCCCUCCCUUGCCACCAUUUUUUCCUUGCUUGUCAUUCUUUCCUCCCUUGGUAGCUGCUGCUUGAACAUCUUUGUCAUGUCGUGCCUGAAAGUACAUGUAUAAAAAACAGGGAAGUUCUAUAAUCCAAUAAAACAAUUGCAUCAUUACUGUA